CCUACGGGAGGCAGCAGUAGGGAAUCUUCCGCAAUGGACGAAAGUCUGACGGAGCAACGCCGCGUGAGCGAUGAAGGCCUUCGGGUCGUAAAGCUCUGUUGUUAGGGAAGAACAAGUAUCGGAGUAACUGCCGGUACCUUGACGGUACCUAACCAGAAAGCCACGGCUAACUACGUGCCAGCAGCCGCGGUAAUACGUAGGUGGCAAGCGUUGUCCGGAAUUAUUGGGCGUAAAGCGCGCGCAGGCGGUCCUUUAAGUCUGAUGUGAAAGCCCACGGCUCAACCGUGGAGGGUCAUUGGAAACUGGGGGACUUGAGUACAGAAGAGGAAAGCGGAAUUCCACGUGUAGCGGUGAAAUGCGUAGAGAUGUGGAGGAACACCAGUGGCGAAGGCGGCUUUCUGGUCUGUAACUGACGCUGAGGCGCGAAAGCGUGGGGAGCAACAGGAUUAGAUACCCUGGUAGUCCACGCCGUAAACGAUGAGUGCUAAGUGUUAGAGGGUUUCCGCCCUUUAGUGCUGCAGCUAACGCAUUAAGCACUCCGCCUGGGGAGUACGGCCGCAAGGCUGAAACUCAAAGGAAUUGACGGGGGCCCGCACAAGCGGUGGAGCAUGUGGUUUAAUUCGAAGCAACGCGAAGAACCUUAC
rnacentral:rRNA from 1 species